UAUACGGGUUUAUACUUUGUCUAUCGACAUGUCUGUAGAUAAUUAGAAUGCGACAAGUGUAGCUGGUCAAAACGACAUUUUAAUUUAUAUUCGGGUGGAAUGUCUGUAGACCUUCGCUGCAACUGUCUGUUUCAUUGUCUAUAACAGAUGAAAAAAGUUAAACUUUGACCCUGUGGCUGCGUCCGUUGUCAUGGUUACCCGAGGAGCUCGCAAUGAAAGUUCUAAAAUUCUCUGAUAUAAUGCACUGCUUUAUUUCGUCACACUCACAACCAGUUUCACCCUGUCGGAGCAACAAUGACAUCACAUGUGAAGCUCAGAAAAGA
rnacentral:lncRNA from 1 species